rnacentral:rRNA from 1 species
GGGGCUAAAUACACCACCGAAGCUGCGAAUUGAUACCAAUGGUAUCAGUGGUAGGGGAGCGUUCUAAGUGCAGUGAAGUCAGACCGGAAGGACUGAUGGAGCGCUUAGAAGUGAGAAUGCCGGUAUGAGUAGCGAAAGACGGGUGAGAAUCCCGUCCACCGAAUGCCUAAGGUUUCCUGAGGAAGGCUCGUCCGCUCAGGGUUAGUCAGGACCUAAGCCGAGGCCGACAGGCGUAGGCGAUGGACAACAGGUUGAUAUUCCUGUACCACCUCUUUAUCGUUUGAGCAAUGGAGGGACGCAGAAGGAUAGAAGAAGCGUGCGAUUGGUUGUGCACGUCCAAGCAGUUAGGCUGAUAAGUAGGCAAAUCCGCUUAUCGUGAAGGCUGAGCUGUGAUGGGGAAGCUCCUUAUGGAGCGAAGUCUUUGAUUCCCCGCUGCCAAGAAAAGCUUCUAGCGAGAUAAAAGGUGCCUGUACCGCAAACCGACACAGGUAGGCGAGGAGAGAAUCCUAAGGUGUGCGAGAGAACUCUGGUUAAGGAACUCGGCAAAAUGACCCCGUAACUUCGGGAGAAGGGGUGCUUUCUUAACGGAAAGCCGCAGUGAAUAGGCCCAAGCGACUGUUUAGCAAAAACACAGCUCUCUGCGAAGCCGUAAGGCGAAGUAUAGGGGGUGACACCUGCCCGGUGCUGGAAGGUUAAGGAGAGGGGUUAGCGUAAGCGAAGCUCUGAACUGAAGCCCCAGUAAACGGCGGCCGUAACUAUAACGGUCCUAAGGUAGCGAAAUUCCUUGUCGGGUAAGUUCCGACCCGCACGAAAGGUGUAACGAUUUGGGCACUGUCUCAACCAGAGACUCGGUGAAAUUAUAGUACCUGUGAAGAUGCAGGUUACCCGCGACAGGACGGAAAGACCCCGUGGAGCUUUACUGUAGCCUGAUAUUGAAUUUUGGUACAGUUUGUACAGGAUAGGCGGGAGCCAUUGAAACCGGAGCGCUAGCUUCGGUGGAGGCGCUGGUGGGAUACCGCCCUGACUGUAUUGAAAUUCUAACCUACGGGUCUUAUCGACCCGGGAGACAGUGUCAGGUGGGCAGUUUGACUGGGGCGGUCGCCUCCUAAAGUGUAACGGAGGCGCCCAAAGGUUCCCUCAGAAUGGUUGGAAAUCAUUCGUAGAGUGCAAAGGCAUAAGGGAGCUUGACUGCGAGACCUACAAGUCGAGCAGGGACGAAAGUCGGGCUUAGUGAUCCGGUGGUUCCGCAUGGAAGGGCCAUCGCUCAACGGAUAAAAGCUACCCCGGGGAUAACAGGCUUAUCUCCCCCAAGAGUCCACAUCGACGGGGAGGUUUGGCACCUCGAUGUCGGCUCAUCGCAUCCUGGGGCUGUAGUCGGUCCCAAGGGUUGGGCUGUUCGCCCAUUAAAGCGGUACGCGAGCUGGGUUCAGAACGUCGUGAGACAGUUCGGUCCCUAUCCGUCGUGGGCGUAGGAAAUUUGAGAGGAGCUGUCCUUAGUACGAGAGGACCGGGAUGGACGCACCGCUGGUGUACCAGUUGUUCUGCCAAGGGCAUAGCUGGGUAGCUAUGUGCGGAAGGGAUAAGUGCUGAAAGCAUCUAAGCAUGAAGCCCCCCUCAAGAUGAGAUUUCCCAUAGCGUAAGCUAGUAAGAUCCCUGAAAGAUGAUCAGGUUGAUAGGUUCGAGGUGGAAGCAUGGUGACAUGUGGAGCUGACGAAUACUAAUAGAUCGAGGACUUAACCAU